rnacentral:rRNA from 1 species
CCUACGGGUGGCAGCAGUGAGGAAUAUUGGUCAAUGGACGAGAGUCUGAACCAGCCAAGUAGCGUGAAGGAUGACUGCCCUAUGGGUUGUAAACUUCUUUUAUAUGGGAAUAAAACAGGGUAUGCAUACCCUCUUGUAUGUACCAUAUGAAUAAGGAUCGGCUAACUCCGUGCCAGCAGCCGCGGUAAUACGGAGGAUCCGAGCGUUAUCCGGAUUUAUUGGGUUUAAAGGGUGCGUAGGUGGAUUGUUAAGUCAGUUGUGAAAUUUUGUGGCUCAACCAUGAGAGUGCGGCGCGAACUGGAGACCUUGAGUGCGCGGAAGGCAGGCGGAAUUCGUGGUGUAGCGGUGAAAUGCUUAGAUAUCACGAAGAACCCCGAUUGCGAAGGCAGCCUGCCGCAGCGUUACUGACGCUGAAGCUCGAAAGCGCGGGUAUCGAACAGGAUUAGAUACCCCAGUAGUC